AUACGUAGGUGGCGAGCGUUGUCCGGAAUUACUGGGCGUAAAGGAUGCGUAGGCGGAUAUUUAAGUGGGAUGUGAAAUCCCCGGGCUCAACCCGGGAACUGCAUUCCAAACUGGGUAUCUAGAGUGCAGGAGAGGAAAGUGGAAUUCCUAGUGUAGCGGUGAAAUGCGUAGAUAUUAGGAGGAAUACCAGUGGCGAAGGCGACUUUCUGGACUUAUACUGACGCUGAGGAACGAAAGCGUGGGGAGCAAACAGGAUUAGAUACCCUGGUAGUCCACACUGUAAACGAUGAAUGCUAGGUGUAGGAGGUAUCGACCCCUUCUGUGCCGCAGUAAACACAGUAAGCAUUCCGCCUGGGGAGUACGGUCGCAAGAUUAAAACUCAAAUGAAUUGACGGGG
rnacentral:rRNA from 1 species